rnacentral:rRNA from 1 species
UUGAACGCUGGCGGCAUGCUUUACACAUGCAAGUCGAACGGCAGCGGGGGCUUCGGCCCGCCGGCGAGUGGCGAACGGGUGAGUAAUGCAUCGGAACGUACCCAGUCGUGGGGGAUAACUACGCGAAAGCGUAGCUAAUACCGCAUACGCCCUGAGGGGGAAAGCGGGGGACCUUCGGGCCUCGCGCGAUUGGAGCGGCUGAUGUCGGAUUAGCUAGUUGGUGGGGUAAAGGCCUACCAAGGCGACGAUCCGUAGCUGGUCUGAGAGGAUGAUCAGCCACACUGGGACUGAGACACGGCCCAGACUCCUACGGGAGGCAGCAGUGGGGAAUUUUGGACAAUGGGCGCAAGCCUGAUCCAGCCAUGCCGCGUGAGUGAAGAAGGCCUUCGGGUUGUAAAGUGCUUUUUGAAAGGAUGAGGAAGGACAGUACUUUCAGAAUAAGCUUCGGCUAACUACGU